AAUAAAAUAAAAACAACAACAAAAAUGUCGGAUAGUGAAAAGCAAGAUAAACCUACCUUUUCAUUUAAGAAAAUAAAUCGCAAACGGGCAGUUAGGAAGCAACGUAACGAAAGCAGUGAUGAUGGUUCAGGGAAGAGUGACAGUGAUGAUGGAAAUGUAGCUGUGCGUCAAAUGGUGACCAAGAAAAAGAACAAUCCUAUGGUGCAAUCA
rnacentral:sRNA from 1 species